rnacentral:rRNA from 1 species
UGGUGGAGCGAUUUGUCUGGUUAAUUCCGAUAACGAACGAGACCUCAGCCUGCUAACUAGCUAUGUGGAUGUACCUCUCCACGGCCAGCUUCUUAGAGGGACUAUGGCCGCUUAGGCCAAGGAAGUUUGAGGCAAUAACA